UGGUCUGGUCAAUGGUCGUGGGUGGCUCGGAGCCUGGGGCUGGGAGCGCCAACGAGGUGCUCGACGGAAUGCCUCUUCCCAGUGCUCCAUUCUGCGGGUCCGGAGGCUGCCAAUUCCACUUCGCGUCUGCCUCCUCCGUCACCCUCGUGGACGUGUAGGUGUGUGGUGGUCUGUUCUUGGAUUCAUUGCGUGUGGGUGAGAGGGCGAAAACUCCAUCAACGGCUGCCUCCGUUGAUGGAAAGAUCAUCAUGUGCACCGGCAAUUCCACUGAUGAGAUUUCAAGACGAGUCGCCGUCGCGCCACCACAUGCUUAGAACUUUAGCAGCCAAGCAGUUAUGUGGUACUCCCUCCGUCUCAUAAUAUAAGAGCGAAGUAGAUGUGAAGCUCGUCCCUAUCCGUUGGGUUGGGUUGGGUUGGGGUAAGUUUUUGUGUGUAUGGUGUUGCUUUGUAUCGUUAGUUGAUUCCUGUCCAUGGGGUUGGAUUGAGUUGACUUGAGGUCGCUGCUCAGCCUCUGUACGAAUCCCCCUCUCCCAUCUCUCCCCUGCGCCUACACACAUUCAUGCCAUGUCUCCUCUUCACAUCCAUCAGCUUUGGCAUCUGCUAGCAAAAAAAUAAGCUCCACAUUUCCUCGCAAGCAACAUAGAGAAAGAAGAAAAGAAGACCACUCUGCACUCCUCCAUCGAAGCUCGUCGCCUUGGUGGCAAGAGGUUCGUAUCAGUAAUUCAGCAUGCACAUCUUUCCUCAAGUUUAUGCUUCUUCAGGCUAGUCCUCCUCUUGCAACAAGAAUUGACAUCAGUACGUACUGCAGGUGCCGUAUUAACUACACCUGCAUCACCAUGGUCUUUGCCGUGGACGCCGCGCUGUGGGUGGUGGGCAAGGCGCUGGCCCCCGUCACGGACGGCCUGCUGGAGUCAUGGGCAGCCAGCACGGAGCUUGGCCGCAACAUCAACGCCCUCAAGAUGCAACUCCUCUACGCACAAGGGAUGCUCGACAACGCGCAGGGUAGGGAGAUCCGCAGCCCUGCUCUCAAGGAGCUUCUGCACAAGCUGCGGGAGCUGGCGUACGGUGCUGACGACUCGCUCGACGAGCUCGACUACUUCCGCAUCCAGGACGAGCUCGAUGGCACAUACCAUGCCGCCGAUUUGGAUGCCCAGAGCUGCGUUGACAGGCUAUUCAUCAAUGCUCGGCACACUGCCAAGGCUGCAGGCAAUAAACUCAAGUGCUCGUCAUCCUCUACCCGUGCUUAUCCCGACGAUCAGGAAGAUGGUGGCACACGAGGAUGCCUCUCUGUCGUUGGCUCGUGUGGUGGGCGUGAUAUCAGCUCCUCACCACUGCGACCCACCACCCAGGGAGUCCAGGAGGUUGACGGCGGAUGCAUGCCUGAAGUCUUCUCUUGUGCUCGCAACGCUGCACAAACUAUCGGUAACACUUUCCGUGCCACUCUUUUCUGUCUGUCCGAGAUGACGAUGUUGCCACCAUCAUGCUGAAAUCCUCCAAUAUCAAUAUGACAGGGAGUGGGCGACGAUUCCUCUGUAGCGCCUGGCCAUCAAAGAUGCUACAAGAAAAUAACACCAUGCAAACACCAAAACUGAAGUUUGAUCGGGUCGUAAUGUCUAAAAAAAUACUGGAAAUUAUAGAGCAGUUGAAACCUCUGUGUGCUAUGGUUUCCACCAUUCUCAAUCUAGAACUACUUGGCUCCACCCAUAUCCCCCCUGCCCAAGACAUUACGAACCGACCCAAAACCACACCAAAUAUUAUAGAGCCUGCGUUGUAUGGGAGGAAUGACCUGAAAAAGAACAUCAUUGAUGGAAUCACGCAUGGUAAAUAUUGUACCAAUGAACUCACCGUAGUUCCACUUGUUGGUCCAGGAGGUAUUGGGAAGACAACACUCACGCAACACAUAUUUAGAGAACUGGAGGGUUCUUUCCAGGUCCCAGUUUGGAUAUGUGUAUCUCUUGAUUUAACGCAGAUAAGUUGGCAGAAGAGAUCGCGAAAAAGAUACCUAAAGUGAAUGAUGAAAAAGCUAAUGCUACAAAUCACGAGGUAAUUGCACAAAGAUUAAAAUCUAAGCGGCUUCUACUUGUUUUAGAUGAUGUGUGGACAUACCAUGAGGAUGAGUGGAAAAAACUAUUAGCUCCGUUAAAUCAAACGGGGGGAGAGAAGGGUAAUGUGGUUAUAGUCACUACACGGAUUCCAAAGGUAGCAAGUAUGGUAACCACAACCAAUUCUUCAAUUGACGUGGAACGUCUAACUCAUGAGGAUACUAUGUCUUUCUUCGAAGUAUGUGUAUUUGGUGACCAACAACCAUGGAAAGAUCAUCCGGAAUUACGUGAUGUUGGGAGUAAAAUAGUAAAAAAGUUGAAGGGUUUCCCUCUUGCAGCAAAAACAGUAGGUAGAUUACUAAGAAACCAGCUUACUUUGGACCACUGGACAAGAGUUGCAGAAAGUAAAGAAUGGGAAUUACAUACCAAUGACAAUGACAUUAUGCCAGCUCUAAAGCUUAGUUAUAAUUACCUCCUUUUUCAUCUACAACAAUGUUUUUCCUAUUGUGGGUUGUUUCCAGAAGAUUAUGAAUUUACUAGCAAGGAGUUGGUUCACUUUUGGAUAGGAUUAGGCAUUAUACGAUCACUUGAUCGGGCCAAAAGAACUGAAGAUGUUGCACUAUGCUAUUUAAAUGACUUGGUAAAUCAUGGAUUUUUCAGAAAGAAUGAAAAAGAAAAUGGUCCUCAUUAUGUUAUCCAUGACCUACUGCAUAACUUGGCGGUGAUGGUUUCAUCAUAUGAAUGCCUUAGCAUAUAUAGUUCUAACGUGCAAACCAUACAAAUUCCUGCAUCCGUGCGUCACUUGUCCAUCAUUGUAGAUAAUACUGAUGUCAAAGAUAUAACCACUUUUAGAGAAUACAACAGUUAUUUGAGUGCACUUGGUAAAAGAUUGAAAGUUCAGAACUUACGCACUUUAAUUUUGUUUGGUGCAUACCAUGGAAACUUCGCCAAAACUUUUAGUGGUUUGUUUAGCGAAGCUACAGCCUUACAGUCUAUUUUUUUGUCUGGAGCAUCAUAUUCUAUUGAUGAUGUGUUGCUGAACUUUUCAAAACUUGUCCAUCUCCGCUACCUUAGGAUAAAAUCAGCUCAUAAUAAGGACAUGUGCUUACCUAGCGCAUUGUUUAGAUCGUAUCACUUAGAGGUCAUUGAUCUAGAAAAGUGGGGUGGCAGCUUUGGUUCAACAAGUCAAAUAAGCAGCCUUAUAAAACUGCGUCAUUUCGUUGUGCCCCAAUAUAAUCUUGAACUUUACUCUAGCAUAUUCGAGGUUGGGAAAAUAAAAGUACUAGAGGAACUGCGAAGAUUUGAAGUGAGGAAAGAGGCCAAGGGUUUUGAAUUAAGUCAACUAGGAGAACUGACAGAGCUUGGAGGAUCACUUGGCAUUUAUAAUCUUGAAAAUGUGCAGAAAAAGGAGGAGGUGGACGAACUAAAACUAAUGAACAAAAACCACUUGCACAAGCUAAUACUAGAAUGGUCUUUUGAUAGACGUAUCAGGGAUGCAGAACAAGAAAAAAAUGUGAUUGAAAGCCUUGUCCCACACAGUAAUCUUCAAGACCUAUGCAUUAGAGGGCAUGGAGGUGAUAUUUGCCCAUCAUGGCUGGGCAGGUACCUCUCGGUUCAAAAUUUAGAAUCACUUUCUCUGUGCAAUGUAUCUCGGAACACACUUCCGCCUCUCGGGGACUUGAGGUUUAUUGAUGAUCGUGAUGAAGAGUGUAAGGGUCUUGUCUCAAGCCAAAGUUUCCUGAUUUUGAAAAGGCUAGAAUUAGUUGAGAUACCAAGACUAGCAAAAUGGAUUGGAAAUGGCAAAUGUCAUUUGUUCUCUGUUCUAGAGGUGGUCAUCAUAAAAGAUUGCCCUGAACUGGUAGAGUUGCCAUUUUCCCACCCUAGUUGCCAUCAAGCAAAGCAGGAGGAGAACAUGAUUUGGUUUCCGAAACUAAAGGAGCUCAAGAUUAUACGCUGCCCUAAAUUGGCGUCAUUGCCUGUAAUUCCUUGGACAGAAGCUCCAUGCUCUGCUGCGAUAGAACAAGCAGGAUCAGUAUUUGAGAAGCUUGUUUACUCGAAGAACUACAAAUCAGAAUUAAGUUUGGAAAUUGAGGGAAAAGAUGGUCAGCAUAUCGUGUUUUGGAACGUGUUGGCUUUCCAUAAUCUAGCUAAUCUGAAAGAGCUGAAGGUGGAGAAGUGUCCUCCCCUGCCACUGAUUCACCUCCAAAAGCUAAAAUCUCUCAAGUCCCUCACGAUAACCGGUAUGAGCAACUCGUUGCUGCUCUUUGGAGGUGAAAGCUAUAAUACUGAAUUCCUGCUUCCAGUUGAACAAAUAGAGAUCAUGGAGUGUCGUGCUGAUGGGAAGGAACUGACACAACUGUUAACUCAUUGCCCGAAGCUCACUGAGUUGGUAGUGAGGAGUUGUGAGAAGAUAACAGAGAUUGGCGUGCUGGAGCUUCAAACGGAAAUGGCGGCAGCGUCAUCUCCAGUUAAUGAAAUUGAAACUGAGCAUGCACAAGGAGGACACCAUCAGACAAGAGGAGAGGAGGUAGAAGAAGCAGUGGCAGGAGGAGAAGGUCUCCUGCUUCUGCCUCGGCAACUAGAGGAGUUGACCAUCUCUGAUUGCAGAGAGCUGCGGUUACUCUCCGAUUCAAUUGGCAAGGACAACACACACGGACGAGGGCUCCAGAGUCUCUGCUCCCUCCGCUCGUUGGAGAUAUAUGAUUGCCCCAGGUUCCUCUCGUCCUACUCGUCCUCCACCUUAUCUUGUUUCCCCUUCCCCGUGUCCCUGCAAGACCUCUGUCUGCUUGGCGUGGAGGGCAUGGAGACGCUGGCUCCCCUCUCAAAUCUCAUCUCUCUCACCAGUUUAACCGUGUGUGAUUGUGGGGAUCUAAGAGGCGAGGGCUUAUGGCCUCUCGUCGCCGGGGGCCGCCUCACACGAUUAGGCAUCUUUGGAACCCGAAAAUUCUUCACUGGUUCUGAGCCCUCACGGCUGCAUGGCCAAGAGAUUCCUUCCUCUUCAUCCAAACUCGAACAUCUCACUACAGAUGACUUGACGGGAGUCCUUACUGCGCCCAUCUGCGCCUCACUCCUCUCUUCCUCCCUUACCGAAUUAACCUUUUGGGGGAACGAAGAGGUGGAGCGCUUCACAGAGGAGCACGAGGAGGCCCUUCACCUCCUCAAUUCUCUCCAGAAACUCGUUUUUUGGAAUUGUAGGAAGCUGCAGCGCCUCCCUGCAGGGUUAGCCCAGCUUGCCAGCCUCAAGAUAUUACGGAUUUGGAAGUUUCCAGCCAUCAGGUCGCUGCCCAAGGACGGACUGCCAAGUUCUCUGCAAGAACUAGAUAUCAAAGACUGUCCUGCCAUCAAAUCUCUGCCCAAGGACGGCCUGCCAAGUUCACUACGGAAAUUAGAAGUUUGUGGUGGCAUCAGCGAGGAGCUUAAAAGGCAGUGCUGCAAGUUAAAAGGAACCAUUCCAAUAAUCAUAGACUACUAAGGCUAAUCCAAGGCCUCUGGCAUGAAGUUGUUGAAGUGCUGUUAUCCUUGAAGUUUUUUGCAUACACGAGCAGUUCGGAUGCCAUGGCCUUGGGUGGUAUCUCCUACAUAAAUAUGGUAUGUAUAUGUAAAAAGCACAGUUUACCCUUUGGAAAAUUAAUCCACGGUAACCCAUACA